CGGAAGCCCAACUACGUGACCAACAUGGCAACCCCAUCCAACUCACUGAUGAACAGGGUAAUCCUGUUAAACUAACCGACGAGCAUGGCCAACCCAUCCACCUUACCGGUGUUGCUGCACCCGCCUCUGCCACCACCAGUUUUGGGAGUAUACCCACUACUACCGCAGGUUUUGGCGGUACACCCACCACUACUACCGGUUUUGAAAGUACAGCCACUACUGGACAUGCCUCUGGAGGUGGAGGGAUCGCCGGACUUGGAACCUUAGGUGGCGGUCCAUACGGUGGUGGUGCAACCAGAGAGAAAGGGACAGUGGGAGAUAUGUUAGGGAGGGACAAGAAGGACGACGACAAUUCUGGCUCCAGCUCUAGCUCUGUAAGUAUUUACUGUAACAAUAUCUUUCUUUGUUAUAUGUUACUCAUUUCUUCAUUAAUUCUAAUAAUUUGCAUGCAUGAUUGCUAGUCUGAGGAUGACGGACAAGGUGGGAGGAGGAAGAAGAAAGGAUUAAAGGAAAAGAUCAAAGAGAAAAUACCCGGCGUUGGAGGAGGGAUGGCCAAGGACCAUUCUCCCCAUCAAGGGACAACCACCUCCACCACCACCACUACCACCGCCACCAGUGCUGCUGGCCAACACCCUGGGGAUCAUGAGAAGAAAAGCUUCAUGGACAAGAUCAAGGAAAAAAUGCCCGGUCAUCAUCAUAACCACUGAACCCUCUCUUCUGUGUGUAUCAGAUCAAGCUCUGCAUGUUCAUGUCCAA
rnacentral:lncRNA from 1 species